rnacentral:rRNA from 1 species
GACGAACGCUGGCGGCGUGCUUAACACAUGCAAGUCGGGCGGUAAGGCCCUUUCGGGGGUACACGAGCGGCGAACGGGUGAGUAACACGUGGGUGACCUGCCUUUAGCUCUGGGAUAAGCCUGGGAAACUGGGUCUAAUACCGGAUAUGACUCCAUAGUGCAUGCUUGUGGGGUGGAAAGCCUUGUGCGGCUAGGGAUGGGCCCGCGGCCUAUCAGCUUGUUGGUGGGGUGAUGGCCUACCAAGGCGACGACGGGUAGCCGGCCUGAGAGGGCGACCGGCCACACUGGGACUGAGACACGGCCCAGACUCCUACGGGAGGCAGCAGUGGGGAAUCUUGCGCAAUGGGCGAAAGCCUGACGCAGCGACGCCGCGUGAGGGAUGACGGCCUUCGGGUUGUAAACCUCUUUCAGCAGGGACGAAGCGCAAGUGACGGUACCUGCAGAAGAAGCACCGGCCAACUACGUGCCAGCAGCCGCGGUAAUACGUAGGGUGCGAGCGUUGUCCGGAAUUAUUGGGCGUAAAGAGCUCGUAGGCGGUGUGUCGCGUCGGCCGUGAAAACCUGUGGCUUAACUAUGGGCUUGCGGUCGAUACGGGCAUCACUGGAGUUCGGCAGGGGAGACUGGAAUUCCUGGU